UCAGAACAUGGGUGAUAAGGUCCGUGUUCGAAAGGGAAACAGCCCAGACCACCAGCUAAGGUCCCAAAAUAUAUGUUAAGUGGAAAAGGAUGUGGCGUUGCCCAGACAACUAGGAUGUUGGCUUAGAAGCAGCCAUCAUUUAAAGAGUGCGUAAUAGCUCACUAGUCGAGUGACACUGCGCCGAAAAUGUACCGGGGCUAAACAUAUUACCGAAGCUGUGGAUUGUCCUUUGGACAAUGGUAGGAGAGCGUUCUAAGGGCGUUGAAGCAUGAUCGUAAGGACAUGUGGAGCGCUUAGAAGUGAGAAUGCCGGUGUGAGUAGCGAAAGACGGGUGAGAAUCCCGUCCACCGAUUGACUAAGGUUUCCAGAGGAAGGCUCGUCCGCUCUGGGUUAGUCGGGUCCUAAGCUGAGGCCGACAGGCGUAGGCGAUGGAUAACAGGUUGAUAUUCCUGUACCACCUAUAAUCGUUUUAAUCGAUGGGGGGACGCAGUAGGAUAGGCGAAGCGUGCGAUUGGAUUGCACGUCUAAGCAGUAAGGCUGAGUAUUAGGCAAAUCCGGUACUCGUUAAGGCUGAGCUGUGAUGGGGAGAAGACAUUGUGUCUUCGAGUCGUUGAUUUCACACUGCCGAGAAAAGCCUCUAGAUAGAAAAUAGGUGCCCGUACCGCAAACCGACACAGGUAGUCAAGAUGAGAAUUCUAAGGUGAGCGAGCGAACUCUCGUUAAGGAACUCGGCAAAAUGACCCCGUAACUUCGGGAGAAGGGGUGCUCUUUAGGGUUAACGCCCAGAAGAGCCGCAGUGAAUAGGCCCAAGCGACUGUUUAUCAAAAACACAGGUCUCUGCUAAACCGUAAGGUGAUGUAUAGGGGCUGACGCCUGCCCGGUGCUGGAAGGUUAAGAGGAGUGGUUAGCUUCUGCGAAGCUACGAAUCGAAGCCCCAGUAAACGGCGGCCGUAACUAUAACGGUCCUAAGGUAGCGAAAUUCCUUGUCGGGUAAGUUCCGACCCGCACGAAAGGCGUAACGAUUUGGGCACUGUCUCAACGAGAGACUCGGUGAAAUCAUAGUACCUGUGAAGAUGCAGGUUACCCGCGACAGGACGGAAAGACCCCGUGGAGCUUUACUGUAGCCUGAUAUUGAAAUUCGGCACAGCUUGUACAGGAUAGGUAGGAGCCUUUGAAACGUGAGCGCUAGCUUACGUGGAGGCGCUGGUGGGAUACUACCCUAGCUGUGUUGGCUUUCUAACCCGCACCACUUAUCGUGGUGGGAGACAGUGUCAGGCGGGCAGUUUGACUGGGGCGGUCGCCUCCUAAAAGGUAACGGAGGCGCUCAAAGGUUCCCUCAGAAUGGUUGGAAAUCAUUCAUAGAGUGUAAAGGCAUAAGGGAGCUUGACUGCGAGACCUACAAGUCGAGCAGGGUCGAAAGACGGACUUAGUGAUCCGGUGGUUCCGCAUGGAAGGGCCAUCGCUCAACGGAUAAAAGCUACCCCGGGGAUAACAGGCUUAUCUCCCCCAAGAGUUCACAUCGACGGGGAGGUUUGGCACCUCGAUGUCGGCUCAUCGCAUCCUGGGGCUGUAGUCGGUCCCAAGGGUUGGGCUGUUCGCCCAUUAAAGCGGUACGCGAGCUGGGUUCAGAACGUCGUGAGACAGUUCGGUCCCUAUCCGUCGUGGGCGUAGGAAAUUUGAGAGGAGCUGUCCUUAGUACGAGAGGACCGGGAUGGACAUACCUCUGGUGUACCAGUUGUCGUGCCAACGGCAUAGCUGGGUAGCUAUGUGUGGACGGGAUAAGUGCUGAAAGCAUCUAAGCAUGAAGCCCCCCUCAAGAUGAGAUUUCCCAACUUCGGUUAUAAGAUCCCUCAAAGAUGAUGAGGUUAAUAGGUUCGAGGUGGAAGCAUGGUGACAUGUGGAGCUGACGAAUACUAAUCGAUCGAAGACUUAAUCAA
rnacentral:rRNA from 1 species